CAAGUCUUUCCGAUGACUUGUGGGUAGGAGUGAAAAGCUCAUCGAAUUCAGUGAUAGCUGGUUCUCCUCGAAAUGCAUAUAGGUGCAGCCUCUAGUAGCACCUACAAGGGUAGAGCUCUGGAAAGGCUAGGGGGGUCGAGAGGCCUUACCAAACCUUACCAAACUUCGAAUAUUGUAGACGCAUACUAGGGAGUGAGGCGGUGUGAGAUAAGUCUCAUCGCCAAAAGGGUAACAGCCCAGAUUUCCAACUAAGGUCCCCAAAUCAUAGCUAAGUGGAGAAGGUUGUCCACCUGCUUAGACAUCUAGGAGGUUUGCUCAGAAGCAGCAAUCCUUUAAAGAGUGCGUUAUAGCUCACUAGACAAGUGGGUGGGUGCCGAAGACGUAACGGGGCUCAAGCUAUGUACCGAAGUUGAAACUUUCAAUUUAUUGAAGGGGUAGAGGAGCGUUCUAUAUCCGGUGAAGCCGCGGCGUAAGCCAGUGGUGGAGGGUAUAGAAGUGAUAAUGUUGGCAUGAGUAACGUCGGCAGAUGAAAAUUCUGCCCGCCGAAUACCUAAGGGUUCCUACGCAACGUUCAUCGACGUAGGGUUAGGCGAGACCUAACAUUGUGCCGAAUGGUUUCAAUGGAUGGAUAACUGGUUAAUAUUCCAGUCCUUAUGGUGUCAAUGAAGGAGUGACACGUCAUGAAGCGUUAUGUCUGCUUAAGAAUUGUAGAUAUGGUGUGAAAGCACUUCACAGUAAUGUGGGGACAAUAUAUAGGAAAAUCCGUAUAUUGUACAGGCGUCAAGAAAAACUUCUAAAUUUAUGGCACUGUAACUCGUACCGAGAACAGACACUUGUGGGUUAAUUGAGAAUAUUAAGGCGAUCGAGACAACUAGGGAUAAGGAACUCGGCAAAAAAGCGAUCGUAACUUCGGGAUAAGAUCUCCUUGCAGCAAUGUGAGGCGCAGCGAAAGAAUGGGGGGGACUGUUUAUCAAAAACACAGCUCUCUGCUAACUCGUAAGAGGAUGUAUAGAGGGUGAUGCCUGUCCAGUAUCAGAAUGUUAACUCCGCUUGUGCAAGCUCGCGGACGAAGCACUGAUAAACGACGGCCGUAACUAUGACGGUCCUAAGGUAGCGAAAUUCCUUGUCAGGUAAGUUCUGACCCGCAUGAAAGGCGUAAUGAUCUGGGCACUGUCUCAACAGCCCGCCCGGCGAAAUUGUAGUACCGGUGAAGAUGCCGGUUACCCGCGACUAGACGGAAAGACCCCAUGGAGCUUCACUGUAGCUUAAUAUUGGAUUUCGGUAUUUGAUGUACAGGAUAGGUGGGAGACUAGGAAGCAAAGGCGUCAGCUUUUGUGGAGUCAACCUUGGGAUACCACUCUUUAAGUGCUGGAAUUCUAACCUGCGACCAUGAAACUGG
rnacentral:rRNA from 1 species